AAAUAAUUGGAUUACUGGGCAACAAAAUGGCAGAUGAAAUUCAGUGUUGAUAAAUGCAAAGUAAUGCACGUUGCAAAACUUAAUCCCAACUAUAGAUACAAAAUGAAGGGUCCAAAUUAGCUGUUAACAUUCAAGAAAAAGAUUUUGAAAUCAUUAUGACUACUUCUCUGAAAACAUCUGCUCAAUGUGCAGUGGCAGCC